GGCCGGGCGUCGUCCGCCGCGCCCCCGCUCAUCCGUCGCGCCAGGACCGCCCGCGCGAUACACGCGGUGCCGGCGGCGCAGCGCGCGGGCCGUAAAGAAGAGAUUGAUUGGAACAACUGAAACAGUGAAGAAAUGAGAAGAGAGCAUGGAAGAGUGGCAGAGGCCUCCGAGGCCAGGAAGAAGGAGGCUCAUGAAGCUGUAAUUUGCAGCCUGUGUGAAACUAAAGAGCGAAAAAGGUAUUAGAAGAUUUCAAACCAAAAGAACUGAACAUGUAACAAGCACAAUGAAAUAAAGAAGCAUCCUAUGCAUAUUUCUGCUUUUCAUAGCCAUAGAUUGAACACUCCUCUGCAUUAAAGAACCAUCUGCCAGGGACUCUUAAGAGCUGAGUGCCAACAAACACACCUUUCUGCAGAAAAACUUCUCUCUCAGCUGUGAAAAAGUCAUCUCCACCUACUGACAUUUCUGUCUGUCUGCUCUUCAAAGACCUUUGAAGGAAUUACUCAAAAGUGGCAUCUUGCUCUAUUUCCCAGUGGAAAUGUGAAUCCUAGAAACACUGAGAAGGUAUUUCUAAGCUUAGAACUAUAGAUCAAAUCAUCCUGUAUUCAGUUUUCGUUUGGGUUGGGGAAGGAGAGAGAGGAAUGUAUAUUUUGCUUUUUAGGAUUUCUCAGUCAUUCUGUAGAUUCACAGUUCCUUAAAACAACACAUCAGAAGGCCUGCCAUCAGGAUGUCUAUAAUCAGAAUGUCUACUAAAAAUUUUACCUUUAAUUACACUUAGAGUGAGUUAUUAAUUUGACUCUGGCCUUUCUCAGUUCUAAAGUGUUGUGUCUGUUCACUUCUUAUCAUCGUGUUUUCUAUGUUGCAGAUACUCAAAUAUUUUGAUAUGUCAUGUAGAGUGUAUAUUGUUUUCCAAACCAUUUUUCGAGAAAUGUCACAGAAUUUGUAAUGUUACUUCACAACACAACAUUAAAGUACUUCUUUCUGAUUCAAUACCUAAUGUGUGCUAAACCUCAUUCAAGUGGUGCACUUGACUUAGAUAGAAUCAAGGUUUGUGAAAGAUUCUCAAAUUCUGAGCAAAACCUGAUUUGCAGCCUCACAAGAAUUGCUUCUGGUUGCUGUAAAGCAAGUCAAUUUUUGAACAGUUUCAUAGAGGCAAAGCUGACGUUCAGAAUAAUUUCAGCAUGGGUCAAGUCAAGAAACGAGGGAUUAAGUGCAAGUGGAAGAUAGAGCUAGAUGAUAGGCAGAUUUUGCAAAAAGAUAAAUUAAUAGAGCUAUUUUAAAAAAGAAAUGUUACUCAUCCAUAUGUAGGAUUCAUCUGUGUUAAGUCCACUAUUACCACUGAUCAACAAAAUAGGAUUUUUGCAUUUCUUAAUGCUUUUCAUGAAUGUGUACAAAAUCCUGUAUGAGGCUUCUGAUCAAACCAGAAAACUCACCUACGGAUCUCUGAAGAUUUCUUCUUACAUGAAUAAAGCAUAUAGACCUUAACAAAUGCUUUCUGAGCUGCAGUGAUUUUGGAAAAAUUAGUAAUUAAUGUCCACAUAAUUCUGUUAGCCUAUAUAUUUUACAGUUUUUUACCCCAUUCCUCUGUUGUUGAAUAUUACAAUCUCCUGUCAUCUGAGUGAGAACAUUAACAAUUCGAAUUUUGUUAUUUAUAUUCUGCUAUUAUUAAAUCACAGCAUUGAAUAAGUUACUGUAGGGACACUGAUCCACAGAAGAUAGUGCUUCAGAAGAAGAUACCGCUGCAGAAGGUUCUGCUCCUCUGCAGUGCAGACUGUGGUAAAAAUGGAUAGCAGUCUAUUCUCCACAUAAAUGUAAUUCAGCAGCUUCAGAAAGUUUCAGAAAGCACAGCAUUAUAUCACUAACUGAAGAAGAAUUGAAGUUGGGGGGAA